rnacentral:lncRNA from 1 species
UAGCAUAGAACAAACCAGCUCUUUAUUAUUACACGAAUAUGAGUACAAGGUCUCCGAUAUUACAAUGAAUAACAUCGGUACGGCGACACUACGCCAUCCUCAGUUGCUCUAUGCAAGCAGCAGAACAACUCGAAGCAGGGGAAUAACUCUAGUAGCGGAACAACGGCGACGGUCGUGAACUCCACUCCGCAGGGACUCUGGCUGGAACGCUUAUCCUAGCUCGCACGAACGGAAACCACGACAAGCAAGCAAUCAAAUCCGGCAUGACCUGCAAACUGGCAUGACACGCCAGGUCAGUACAUUGAAUGUACUUGCAAGCUCACAAUAACCAGAAGCAUUCAAGACAAACAACAGCAUGGCAAUUACAGGUUAAACAGGAAUUAUCAUGAUAUCAUCAGAAUAACAUGGCAUGACCAACAUAAACAUGAUACAGCUAACACAACAUGAACAUAUUAAUCUAACCAUACUAGCAUGCAACAUGAUGACACUAUAUGCACCACUUAUUCUGCUCAGGCUACCUUGUAACCAACGCAUGCAUCACUUACCAACCUCGGACAUCACACGAUCAUCUCAGGAUCAAAUCAAGCUUGGUAUAAACAAUACCGUAGUGAUCAUUAAAUGACCACAAGGAGCUUGAUCUUUACCCAUGAUUCUCGCACAAUAUCACGAAUAUCCAACAACUCGGUAUCCUUGAUACCACGGUGAUCCUUACAGCGAUCAAAACCACGACCAACAAUUGGCCCGUGAUCCUUACGGCGAUCACAAUCACGACCAACACUUGGCCCGUGAUCCUUACGGCGAUCACAACCACGAGUUUUCAUUAAUCAAGUUAUUCUUAUUACUGUUGACUCAUGGUGUGACCUACUUUCGACCUGGGCCCUUAUCCGCGGGCGCGGCUAUCGAUAGAUUUAAUAUACACUCUGUAGAGGUUAGUACACUGUACCCACACUACGGAACCCAUGGCCUCGCACUCCCAUUCGGGUGGACCAACGGCAUUCCGACAAAAACGAUCUACUGCCAUGACACUCUCCCGGCCACUCCGACUCACUCCCCUCUGGGCUAAGUCAUGGGUGGCCCCGUGUCUACCAAAGACACAACGACCACCGUCGUGGCCCGUCCCACUCUGGGACCCGGAUCCAAAACUAACUCAACAACGAGCACACAAGGCUUAUGUCCGCCAACCUGAUCAGGGUAGCGUGCGCCCGUAACCUUUCCUCAUUGGAGGCACCGGCGAGAGGCACAACAAUAGACCCAGUUAGGACCGUCCCAUACCGGUAAGCGUGGUUGCACUGGUCAGGAUCGAUUCAGCAGCACCAUGACUCAGCCAACAGUUGUCCAAGUUCAAUUUAAUCCGGUUAACUUGAAUGCAAAUAUGCUGAGCCAUGAUAAAAUAACAUGAUGCAAAUUACAAUGCAUGAACAUGAUAUCAACAUAAUCAUGAAGGUAUCACAUACUAUCCACCAUAUCAACAAUGAAUCAUAUCCACUGAGCACGACAUACUGACUAGCAUGAACAUCACCAGUACAUAAACAUGUACUACUAGCAAGCAUAAAUAUAUGAAAGGAAAUACUAGCAGGUAGAACAUGAUAACAGAGUACAAGACAACAUAGCACAAAAGUGAGCAUGCAAAUCUAAACAUCAUCGGAGCAACGAUAACCAUCUUUUCAACAAGCAAACAUUUAAUAAAGAUUCAAGUUGAAAACCAUGGCUACUGCGUGACUAUCAUGCAAGUGGGUAUUGUGGCUUGCCUGGGGAUGAAGAAGGCACCGGGGAGAAGUGCGGUGAAGCCGCGGAAAGAUUUGCCGGAAACAGUUCUCUCUCUGAGGGGCUGUUUACGCGCAAGGGCAAAAAGGUCAUUUUCACAUGGUCAAACCAUAGUGAAAGCAUGACCAACAGAACGGGCUCGACGAAACAAAGAAAUAGGCUUUCGAAUCACCUUAUUUGGAGUUACGGUUGCGGAGUUGUGAAGGGUGGAAGAGCAGGGACUAAUCUGUGAAAACUUUAUCACCAACGGGUCCCUGAGUGCAUAAGGCAGAGGCGCAAAAUC